rnacentral:rRNA from 1 species
AUUGAACGCUGGCGGCAGGCCUAACACAUGCAAGUCGAGCGGAUGAAGGGAGCUUGCUCCUGGAUUCAGCGGCGGACGGGUGAGUAAUGCCUAGGAAUCUGCCUGGUAGUGGGGGAUAACGUCCGGAAACGGGCGCUAAUACCGCAUACGUCCUGAGGGAGAAAGUGGGGGAUCUUCGGACCUCACGCUAUCGGAUGAGCCUAGGUCUGAUUUGCUAGUUGGGGGGGUAAAGGCCUACCAAGGCGACGAUCCGUAACCGGUCUGAGAGGAUGGUCAGUCACAAUGGGAAUGGGACACAGGCCCGAACCCCAACGGGAGGCACCAGUGGGGAACUUUCGAAAAUGGGGAAAAGCCUGCGCCAGACCUGCCGGUGGGUGGUAAAAGGUUUUCGGAUGUUAAACUCUUUUAAGUGGGGAGGAAGGGCAGUUAGCUAAUAGCGUGAUGGUUUGACGGUACCAAAAGAAAAAGCCACGGCUAACUUCGUG